CACAAACACUCAUCACUGGUAACCUACAGUAAAAGGAUUGCUCAGUAUUAGUUCUAUACAGCAAGUCAAGACAAGAUGGAUUCCUGUUCUUAUUUUAAGCUGAUAGGAUGCUUCAUUCUUAUUAGCAUUGCUAUUGUUCCAACACAAGGUUGUUUUCCUCUUGACUGUCAGGAGGCAUACAAAAAUGGUACAGUAUGCAGUGGAGUAUAUACUGUGACACCUGAUGAUCUACCAGCUUUUGACGUCUAUUGUGAUAUGAGUA